UUUCCUUCUGAAGAAUCUUCUGGGGUUUGGAGUCCCCUGUAGAGGACUCUCAUGGCUGCAGACACUAAGCCUGGGAGGAAAGAUCCUCAUCUGUAGAGUUCACUGAAAGGCCUGAGAGCAGAAAAGGAAAGAAACAGGAAAGUGUGCCACCUCUGCUCACUGUGGUUCAGCUUCUGCCUUUGCAGCUGAGCUCAGGUGCCCUGGAGUCCUCCCUAGCCUGAGUCAGUGAUCUCAAGUUUAAGUCCCUACUUCCUGGUUUGUAGUAUCAAACAAAGCACAGUUUCAGGCAAGAAAAGCUGUGAAUGCCAUCUAGACAUUGUUGUCUACAUUUGAGGGGGACUGUUGAGCCCCAAAGGGAGCAAGGGUUACAAGGUCAGGUAUUAUAGGAAUGGCCAGGGUUGGAAUCCAAGUUCCAAUCUCCCUUUGCUCUGGGCAGAGGGUAGGCCUGGCAAUUGGUUCCUGCUGUGUACAUGGGGAGAAUCAAAGGGUCUUAUGGGAUCGCUGGCACAGACCUGCCCAAGCAUGGCUUAGGGAGCCUCACACCAACUCAAUGUUUGAUGUGUUCCCAGGUUUGUCUACCACCCUCAGCUGUGUGCCAUUUUCCCUGCCUCCUGCAAGGGACUCUAAAUAUCUUCCUAUAAAAGCGAUCAAGGAGGAGUUGCACAAGGACAGGUGGGGCUCUGUGGGGAGGUUCACAUGGGCUAACACAUUAGAGGGCCACAGUCCCAGGACUGAUGCUGGAUGGACACUCUCCUCUGACAUCCAACAGAGAGAUCUUCACAGAGAUCAAGAGAAGGCUUCUCUGAAUAGCUGUGCAGAGCACCUCCGAUUCAUGCACUUAGGACUGACACCCAUAGGAUGCUUUUGAGGAGCCGAUUGUGAUUCAAGGGCUCAUCUGCCUGGGUCCAUGUGCCUCUAGAGAUGAGCCCAGGACUUGGCUGUGGCUGGUUAUGGAGUCAGAUCAGAGGAUGGGAGGGGGCUUGUCCUUGGCUCCUGGGAGUAGAGCAAUUUUUCUUUCCCUGCCCCUACUUUUCUUGCUUUUCUUUCCUUGGCAUAAGGAGGGACUGGAAGAAGUCUGUCUAUGGGGAGUGAGGCUGGCUGGGAAACUGCUCGCUGUUCUACAUUGUCAUGCUGCUGGGUGCUUGGGGUGGUUGGCAGGAUAACCUCUGCACCAUUCCAGUCUGCUUCUCUCCACUUUAUCCAUGCAUCCCUGUCCCUGCGCUGGGAGACCUGGGUACAAAAGUCCCACCUGUAGCUUCCAGUCCAGGGAUGGAGUCACUCAGUGAAUGGAUUCCAGAUGGUUAUGUGUAAAGCUGCAUCGAACAGGGUAGUUACUGAACAUGUGGGCAUAUGGAGGAGGAUACUGCACUGCACCCACCCACAUUUCAUAUAAAACCAAUCCUCAGGCUCAGGUACUAAUUGGUUCUUUUUAUACCUUUCACCAUUUUUGCUAUUCACUGUACUGUGAAGGGUGAAUUUUCAUUGUUUCACUUCUGCAAAAAGACAGAGUUUAGCAUUGGAGACUCACUACAGCCUGGCUGGAAGGGAGGCCUACACCCAUGUGUCCUUAGGAAAAAGCUCUUUCAUAGGAUGCCUCCCUGAGUCCCAGGAUGUGUGGAGGGCUCUGAGCCCUAUCCAGGGUUGACCUCAGUAUAUUAACGGGAGCAGAGGCUUCUCUCUGAUAGAACAGUACCACCCUCCUGCAAGAUGUCUAUGAUGGUUUGUAUAUGCUUAGCUCAGGGAGUGGCAAUAUUAGGAGGCAUGGUCUUGUUAAAGUAGGUGUGUCGCUGUGGGCAUGGGCUUUAAAACCAUUUUCCUAUCCACAUGCAAGCCAAUCUUCCCCAAGCAGCCUUCAGAUGAAUAUGUAGACCUCUCACUUACUCUGGCACCAUGACUGCCUGGAUGCUGCCAUGCUCCCAGCUUGAUGAUACAGGACUGAGUCUCUGAACCUGCAAUCCUGUGUCCAUUAAUGUUGUCCUUAUAAGAAUGCAUUGGUCGUGGAGUGUCUGUUCUCAGCAGUAAACCCCUAACUGAGACAAUGUCAAUGUUCCCUACUCCAGCUUCCUGGCUAUAGAAGCUUCACACAUGACCGGUAUUCUCUUGGGAUAUGGGCCUAAUAGGCUCUAGGCUGUCUGCUUGAUCUGAGAGUGUUAGGACAUCCUGCUCCUAAGGGCAUUGUUACUGUUCCCAUGCAAUACUGUGAAAACAUCAGCAGGCUCCUGCUUUCUUACCCCCUGAACACAAUGCUGCUUUUUCCAGGAGUGGAUCCAACAUAUCUCAAAACCUCCUCAGGAACUAUGUGUUUCCCAAGGAUUACCUGCACUUGCUUAUACACCCCUAUUCUGUGUCCUGAAAACUUUUCAAAGCCCAUUCAUCUGAGACUGGUGAGUUCAGGACAGUAGUCCCAAGUGUCUUGUCCUACGCUGACAGUUCAUUCUCAUGAGGCAUCACUUACACUUGACAGAGUAUUUUUCGAAGGGGCAUUGGAUGUGCAGGAGAAUUGUGUGUGCUGACUCCUGUCAGAUCAGCACAGGAUAGCAUCAAGGCCCCAUUUGCUCUUGAUUUUGGAACUCAUGGUCUUGGCACUGUCUUGUUGGUAUUUAGGUCCCUGUCAGUCCCUAAUUGAAUUUUAGCAUGGGAACCCAGGGCAGUUGUCUUCAAAGAUAUUCCUAGUAUGGUCCACAUCUUCACCUUGCCAGACAUAAAGCACAACAAAACACCAGGCAGGCAGAGAACCCUCAGGGGCUGGAACUGGAAUGUUCAAACACUCUGGCUUGACCUUGGCCAGCACAGAUUCAGAGAACAUCUUCUAUGUAGGAAGAUCUCCUUCUCCUCUCAGAGUUUAGGACAUCUAGAGUUAGGCUAAGGUGCUGGCACAAUGUGAGCAGAGGCAGCACUCUGGGCUUGUUCAGUGUCAAAGCCUCCCUGCCACCCCUGUAUCACAGUCACAGCAGCCCAUCUCAUGAGAAUUCUAGGGCUGCUGAUAUCCUGGAUGAAUAAUCCAUGUUCUGCUGCUAGUUUCUUUGCUUCCACAUGGAUAACUGAGAGAAGGGAUUGAUUAAGUGUAGGUGAGGAAGCCCUGCAAAUAUCUACUUGGUGUUACCAAAGACAAUGGGUUCUGACUGGCAAGAUCUUUGAAUUAGAUUUUGAAAAAUGCCACCUAGGAACAGUUAGUAGGUACUCUCAUGAAGGUACAGCAUGGUGGGCACUAUGGGACAGGAUCCCUGAGGCUGGUGCAGUGGGACAGGGUCGUUGGGGCAGGUAAAACUGAGUAGGAAACGUGAGCCAGGAACAACCGGGCAGGGACCCUGGUUCAGUUACAACAGAGCAGGAAUCCUGGGGGAGAUGCAAGGGGGCAUGAGUCCUGGGGAAGGGAUCUUGUAGUUGUGGCCCUGUGGCAUGUGCAACAGACAGGGACCCUGGGGCAGGUGCACUGUGACGUGCACCCAAGCUGGAAUGUUCAGACAGGUGUGUGUUUGCUUCAUGCAGCUGCUGUCUGAAGUAGAGAACACUGGCAUCUGCCCCAGAGGGGAUUUUGGGAACUCCUUCCAAGAAUCCCUUAGCUCCUAACUGAGAAGCUAUACAUUCCACAGAUGGACCUUUAUUGAGAUGAGCAGAUUCUAAGGGAGCUGCCUUGAAUGAACAGCCAAAGAAAGCAGAAAUGAAAUACAAGCAAUUGCAGCAGACAUGUUCAGUGUGUUUUUGACCUGAAAAGUAGGACUGGAAGAAACUGAUUAAGUCAAAUCACUUCUCUGUCUGUCCAUCCACCCACCCAUCCAUCCAUCCAUCCAUCCAUCCAUCCAUCCAUCCAUCCAUCCAUCCAUCCAUCCAUCCAUCCAUCCUUCCAUUUCCCUGAGGGAAGUCAGCUUUUAUUCCUGAGAAGGUCAAAGCAGCGCUCACUUGUGGUGACAAUGAGGAUUGCAGGCAGUGAGAUAAGUGGAUAUUUAUUUAUUUAUUUAUUUAUUUAUUUAUUUAUUUAUUUAUUUAUUUAUUUCAUGAUCUGCGAUAGACUGCCACUUGUGGCCAGUCCCCAUCUGCAUCAGCUGUACCAUGAACCCAGUCUCAGUGUGACACAGAAAAGGCCUAAUUGGAAAGUAUGUCCUCUCUCUAAGCGACACUGUAUAAUAAGAUACUCUGGACUGCAGGUCAGUCAAGGCCUGUGUUUAGGAGACUUGUGGACAGAUGAAUGUCUGUGAGUCUGGACUUAGACUCUGUGGAGGGCUCAGGUCACCUGACUGUCCUGAAGUUUCCCACUGUGAUUUAUUUCCCUCCUACAGAGCCAGACACCUGAGCAACUGCAUUUCCUGGUUAUCCCCUAAUCCUCUUACACUGUGUAGAGUGUUCAAUAUCAGGGAGGGCCUGGGAAUCUGAGAGACACCACUGAGCCCCCUGGGCCUGGCUGACUCAACUUGAGUCUACUCUGUGUGUCUUCAUUUUGCUCACUAUCCAGAGACCUCAAAAGGCAGCAGUGAGCUUGCUGAGAGGAAAGGAGCCCCCAUAUUGGCCCAAAAGCAACUGUCCUCUUUUACAGGUUCAUCCACAGAGCAUGUAAUUUUGAUUGAUGCAACAUCGGGAAGAAUGAAUGACAUCAUCUCCCAAGGGCAAGUGCUGUGCUAGUAUACACUGAGGAGCUGCAGGGAUCAGACCCCCUUUCCAGCCUCUCUUGUUCUUCCUUGUGAUGGUUCCUGCAGAUCUGAAAGAAUCAGGCAGUAUAUGACAUGGGUUUGAAUAUAAUCUCAUUACACUUUAUUCCCUGCUCUGAAUCUAAGACCAGGUAAUUCCUACGUUUGUUUGUUUAUUCAUUUAUUCAUUUGAUAUAUAUAUGUGUGUGUGUGUGUGUGUGUGUGUGUGUGUGUGUGUGUGUGUGUGUGUCUGUAUACAUAUAUACAAUGUCGCUGUCUUUAGAAAUACCAGAGAGGGCAUCAAAUCUCAUCAGAGAUAUUUGUGAGCCACAAUGUGGUUGCUGGCAUUUGAACUCAGGACUUCUGGAAGAGCAAUCAGUUCUCUUAACACUGAGCAAUCUUUCCAAUUUCCAGUCUAACUUUCUUAAUUCCAGUACUGUAUUCUUUAUUUAGGUUACAUCCUGAUCCCAGCCACUCUCCCUCCCCCUUUCCCAGUGCCACCUUACAAAUCCUUCUCAUCAUAAUGCUCUCCCUUCUCUUUGUAGAAGGGCAGACUCCCUAGGUACCACCCCGCCCUGGGGCAUCUACUCCCAACAGUAUGAAGCACCCCCUGUCCCACAGAUUUACAAUCAGGCUGCCCAGGUAUGGGGAAGGGUUCCCAUGGCAGGCAAGAGAGACUGUAACAGUCCUGGAUCUACAUGUCAGAUGACCCACAUGGAGACCAACUGCAGAUAGCUACACCUGGCCCUGGGGUUGGUUGCCCAGGCUCUAGCAUACUCCAUGGUCCAAGGUAUCUGACUAUAGGGGACUUCUUGAAGUGUUUUUAACCCCUCUAGUCUGCUCACCACUCUCCCCCACUCUUCCACAAGACUUCCCAAGCUCCAUCUGAGGACUGACUGUGGCCUUUAGCUGCUGAGUGAAGCCUCUCCAGAGACAGGUGUGCUACUUUUCUGUCUGCAAGUAAAUCAGAGUAACGUAAGUACUGUCAGAGGUUGUCUCUGUCACAUGAGAUGGAUCUCACUUUGGGGCAGUCAUUGAUUGGUUGGUCCCUCAAUAUCUGCUUUACCUUUAUCCCUGCACACUUAUUGGCAAAAAAGAUUUUGAGUUGAAGGUGUUGUGAGUGCAUUGAUGUCCUCUUCCUCUUCUAGAAGUUCUUUCUUGCUACAGGAGGUGGCCAUUUCCAUCUUCUGCUCCAGUAGGAAUCUAAGCUAGAGUCACCCCGUAGACUCCCCCAUCCUCUCCCUUACCAGGCAUCCAGCAAGUCACCAGAGAUCCCUGGACACUCCUGCCCAGACAAUUUGUAAUCUCACUCCUAGCCCUCUUCCAAACCCCUCUCCCUAGACCUGACCAGCAUUUCCAUCUCCUUUCCUGCCUCUUCUCUUACCCUGUUCCAUCAUUUCAUCCUUCUUAGACUAUUUUGUUUCUCCUUCUUGUGAGAUCCACACCUCCUCACUCAGGUCCUCCUUCUUCCUUCAUGCCUAUCAACCUGUUAUCCUGCACUUUAUGGUUAAUGUCCACUCAUAAAUGACAUACAUUUUUCUGUGGUUCUGGGUUACCUCACUCAGGAUAACAUUCUGAAGUUCAUCCAUUUGCUUACAAAAUUCAUAAUGUAUUUAUUCUUAAUAGCUGACGAGUAUUCCAUUGUGUAGAUAUACAAUAUUUCCUGUAUCCAUUCUUCAGUAGGGGGACAUACAGGUUGUUUUCAGUUCUUGGACAUUACAGGUAAAACCACUAUUAAAAUAGUUCAUCAAGUGUCCUUGUGGGAUGGUGGGUCACCAUUUGAUUAUGUGUCCCAGGGUUGUUUUGCUAAGUCCAGAUGAAAACUGAUUCCCAGUUUUCUGAGAAACUGCCAAUAUGAUUUCGAAAAUGGAUGUACAAGUUUUCAAUCCAAGCAGCAAUGGAGGAGUGUUCCCACUAUUCCACAUCCUCAUCACCAUGUGCUGGAUGUCACUUUAGAUUUUUAUUUUAUCCAUACUGAUGCACAUAAGUUGGAAUCCCAGGGUGCUUUUGAUUUGGAUAUACCUGAGGACCAAGGAUGGUGACCAGUUCUUUAAGUGGCUCUUGGCCAUUCAAAGUUCUGCUGAUGAAUUUAUCUCUUCAGCACAUUAUUAGGUUAGGAUAUUUGGUCUCUUGUAGUUUCAAUUGUUAUUUAUGUAAUUUUAAUAUUAGCCUUUUGUGCACUAUAGGGUUGGUGAAGAUCCUCUUCCAACCUGUAUGCAGACAUUUCUAUUAAAUGUUUUGUUUUACUUACAGAAGCUUUUCAGUUUCAUCAAGUUUCAUUUAUUAAUUGUUGAUCUCAAUAUCUGAGCGCCAUUGGUGUUCUGCUCAGGAAGUUGUCUCCUGUACCAAUGUGCUCAAGCCUAUUUCUCACUUUUUCUUGUAUCAGAUUUGAUGUAUAAGGUUUUAUUUUGAGGUCUUUGAUCCACUUGGACAUGUGUUUUGCACAGGUUUAUAGAUAAGGCUCAUUGCAUUCUUCCCUAUGCCUAUAUCCAAUUAGACCAGCACCACCUGUUCAAGAUGCUUUCUUAUUUUUUGUCAUAUGAUUUUGCCCACUUUAUUGACAAUAAGCAUCCAUACUUGUGUGGGUUUAUUUCAGGGUCUUGGAUUUCAUUUUAUUGAUCAGCCUGCCUGUUCCUAUACCAAUACUGUAGUUUUAUUGCUAUAGCUCUGUAGGACAGCAGUAAAUCAGAGAUGGUGAUUCCUCCCGAAAUUCUGUUAUUGUUCAGGAAUGUUUUAGCUUUCUUGGGUUUAUGAAAUAUUUCACUUGAAGUUGAGAAUUUCACUGUUAAGGUUUGUAAAGACUUGUUUUGGUAUUUUAAUGGGUAUUGCAUUCAGUUUCUGAUAUCUUUCAAUUGCUUUUUUUCAGAGAUUUAAAAUUUUUGUCAUACAGAUCUUUCACUUUCUUAGAGUUACACUAAGACAUUUAUAUUAUUUGUUGCUAUUGUAAAGAGCAAUGUUUCCCUAAUUUAUUUGUCAGCCCCUUCAUUGUUUGUUUAAAAGAAUGGUACUGAUUUUUUUAGUUAAUGUUGUAUCCACCUACUUUACUGAAGGUAUUUAUCAAAUAUAGGAGUUCUGUGAUAGAAUUUUUGGGGGCUCUUGUACAUACUAUGAUAUCAUCACAAAUGCCAAUAUGAUAUCUUCUUCCCUUCCAAUGCAUAUCUCGUUUUUCACAUUUAGUUGUCUUAUUCCUCUAGCCUGAACUUCAAGAACUAUAUUGAAAUGUUAGGGGGAGGGUGGCCAGCCACGCCCUGCCCCAGAGUUUAUGGGAAUUAUUUUAAGUUUCUCUCUAUUUAGUUUGACAUUGGCUAGUGGACUGCUGUAUAUUACUUUGUGUUCAUGUAUUCUUCUGUAUCCUUCUCUCUGUGUAAGUUUCACAUGAUGGACUGUCACGUUUUGCCAAAGGCCUUUUCAGAAUCUACUGAGAUGAUCAUGAGAUUUUUUAAACUUAAUCAAUUUAUUCAUUUAAUUUCAAAUGAUAUCCACUUCCUUGUUGCCCCUCCGCAAUCACCCAUUCCAUCCUCCCCAUGCCCCUCAGCUUGGCGUCUAUGAGGGAGCUCCUCCACUCUCUCCCCUACUCCCGCCUGACCACUCUAACAUUCCCCUAUGCUGGCAUAUCAAACCUCCACAGGACCAGGGGCCUCCUCUCCCAUUGAUGUCAGUGAAAGCCAUGUAUCUGGAGCCAUGGUUCCCUCCAUGUGUAUUCUUUAGUUUUUGCUUUGUUCUUCGGAGCUCUGUGUGUCCACUAACCUGAUAAUGUUUUUCUUAUGGGGCUGAAUUCCCUCAGGUCCUUCAGUCCUUCACCUAGCUCUUCCAGUGGGUUCCCCAGGCACAGUCUGAUUGUUGGCUGUAAUUAUCUACAGCUGUAAGGGUCAAGUGCUGGUACAACCUCUCAGGGAAUAGCAAUAGCAGGCUUCUGUCAGUAAGCACAUCUUGACAUCAGUAAUAGUGUCUCAGUUUGGUAUCUGCUCAUGGGAUGGAAUCCUAAGUGGAGCACUGAAGGAAAGGUAUGGCCUUUCCUUCAGUGUCUGUUCUAUUUUUUUAUUGUUGUCUUUUCUUUGGACUUGAACAUACCUAGGUUAGAAAUUUGAAAUGAGGAGUUGGGGAUUUAGCUCAGUGGUAGAGCGCUUGCCUAGCAAGUGCAUGGCCCUGAGUUCGGUCCCCAGCUCCGAAAAAGAAGAAAAAGAAAAAAAAUUUAGGAUGAUUGUGUGGCCCCUUUGCCUAUGUGGGGCUGUGUCUAUCUAGUGGAGGUGUCUAUACAGAUUGCAGGUCCCCCUUGUUGCAUACGUCAGAUAAAGUCAACCUUUUGCAUCCUGGGGGACUCUCACUACCCUAACAUCUGGGACUUUGUAGUGGCUACACCCAGUUCAUCAUUCCCCACUGCUACAUACUUUUAAUCAAUUUCCUGAAACUCUAAUUCGCUCAUGUCUUUUCUAUCACCUGAUCCUGUCCUCCCCAAAACCCUGCAUAUGUAUCUACCACUACUCUCUUGCUCACAGGUCCCUGCCUUGCUCUACCUCCUGUGAUUAUUUUGUUCCCUGUACUAUGUGGGAAUGAACAUCCACACUUUGGUCUUCCUUCUUCUUUUUUUUUUUUUCGGAGCUGGGGACCGAACCGAACCCAGGGCCUUACGCUUCCUAGGCAAGGGCUCUACCACUGAGCUAAAUCCCCAACCCGGUCUUCCUUCUUCUUAAGCUCCAUAUGGUUUGUGAGGUUUAUUGUGGCAUAUUGAGCUUUUGGGGGUAAUAACAACUUAUGAGUUUGUACACAGCUUGUGUCUGGGUUACCUCUCUCAAGUUUAUAUAUUUUAGAUCUAUUCAUUUCCCUGUAAUUUCGUGAAGUCAUUGUUUAUACUAACUUGGUAGUACUCUAAUGUGCAAAUGCAUCUCAAUUUCUAUAUCCAUGCUUCCAUUGAGGUACAUGUGGAUUGGUUACAACGUCUAGAUAGUAUAAAUAAGGCUUAUAUAAACAUAAGGGAGCAUGGGGCCUUGUUAUAUGUUGAAACAUCUUUGAGGAUUUAUGUCUAGUAGUGUUAUAGCUAGUUGUUCAUGUAGAACUAUAUUUAAUUUUCUGAGGAAGCACUGAAUUGAUUUCUAAAGUGAUUUUACCAGCUUGCAGUUCUACCAGCAGUAGAAGAGUGUUGCUCUUUCUCCACAUCCUUGCCAGCAUUUCCUGUCACCUGUGGUUUUGAUCUUAGUCAUUGCUGUGCUGGGGAUUGUGAGGGUCAUUUUGAUUUACACUUCCCUGAAGAGGAAGGAUGUUGAACACUUCUUUAAGUGCUUCUCAUCCUUUCAAGGCUCCUUAGUUGAGAAUUCUUUGUUUAGCUCUGUACACCGUUUGAAAAAUAUUGUUUUUGGAUUUUUGGAGACUAACUUCUGAAUUUUUGUGUAUUUUUUAUAUUAGCUCUCUAUCAAAUGUUGGAUCAGUUGAGAUCUUUUCCAAAUCUCUGGAUUGCCAUUUUCUCCUAAUGAUUAAGACCUUUGCCGUACAGAUACUUUUCAAUUUUAUGAGGUCCCAUUUGUCGAAUGGUGAUUUUAGAACAUAAGCCAUUGGCAUUCUAGUCAGAAAUUUUCCCCUGUGCCAAUGUGUUUGAGGCUCUUUCCCACGGUCUCUUCUAUUAUAUUCAGCAUGUCUGGUUUUAUAUGGAGGUUCUUGAUCCACUUGGACUUGAACAUUGUACAAGGAGUUGAGAAUAGGUAAAUUUGCACUCUUUUCAUGCUCACCGACAGUUCAACCAACACCUUUGGUUGAAAAUGCUGUUUUUUUUAAGCCAGAUGGAUUUGGCUUCUUUGUCACAGAUUAAGUUCCCAUCCAUGUGUAGGGUUAUUUUCUGGGUUGUACAUUGUAUUACUUUGAUCUACUUUCCUGUCCCUGUACCAAUAACUGUUUGUUUUUUAAAAUUAUUACUCUGUAGUACAGGUUGAAGUCAGGAAUGCUGAUCUCCCAGAAUUUCUUUUAUUGUUGAGAAUAUUUGCCCUAUCCUGUGUUUUUUUUGUCAUUCUAGAUGAAUUUGAGAAUUGCUCUAACUCUAUGAGGAAGUGAGUGGUAAUUUUGACGGGGAUUGCAUUGAAUCUAUAGACAGCUUUUGGUAAGAUGGCCAUUUUACUCUCUUUAUCCCGCUAAUCCAAGAGCAUGGGAGAUCUUUCCAUCUUCUGGGGUCUUCUCCAAUUUCUUUCAUCGGAGACUUGUCCCUGUUGUACAGAUCUUUCACUUGCUUGGUUAGAGUCACGCUGAGGUAUUUUAUAUUAUAUGUGACUAAUGUGAAGGGUGCUGUUUCCCUAAUUUUUCUCAGCCCAUUAUUUUUUUGAGUAGGGGAAGACAGCUGAUUUGGUAGAGUGAAUUUUCUAUCCAGGCACUCUGCUUAAGUUGUUUAUCAGCUGGAGGAGUUCUGGUACAAUUUUUUCUGGUCACAUGUUUAUACUACCAUUUCAUCCACCAAUAGUGAUAUCUUAACUUCCUCCUUCCCAAUGUGUAUCCCUUUGAUCUCUUUUUGUUCUCCUAUUGCUCUGUCUAUAAACUCUCGUAAUAUAUUGUAUAGAUAGGGGCAGAGUGGGCAGGCUUGCCUUGUUCCUGAUUUUGGUGGGAUUGCUUCAAGUUUCUCUACUUUUUGUUUGGUAUUGGCUGUUUGUUGUAUAUGGUUAUAUAUUUACGUAAGUAUGAAUGUGUAUGACCAAAUACAUAUAUAUAUAUAUAUAUAUAUGUGUGUGUGUGUGUGUGUGUGUGUAUGGACAUUCAUUCAGGUUAUAUGUCCUCUCCCCUUGUAACACUGAAUUACAUUAAUCAGGGUUGUUCUAGCUUUCAGUAUUAUAAAGGGGAAAAGUUUGUGGAAAUGGUGUACUUUUAAACUACCCCCAUAGUUAAGCAGGUUUACAUGGCCAAAACAUUUAAAUUCUGAUGCUUAAUGAAAUUGAUUACCCUCACUUUGUUAUUUUCUUUCUCCCUUAUAAGUGUGGCUAUGUUGGACCACCAUAUACAUCUGUGUACAUAGGUGCGUGUGGAGGCUUGCCCUGAGGUUGACGGAAAUUAUCCUCUAAUUACUCUCCCUUGCUCAAUGAAAGAGAGUCUCUCAAUGACUAAGCUGGCUGCCUGUUCUUCCUAGCAUUUAUGUAAUCAUCAGUUGAUCACUGAGCCAUCAGUAGUGCACAUAUUUAUUUUUGAAAGUCACAGUCAAGAGUUUAUUUUGCCCCUUUUCUGCAUGGAAUUCUUUAUUGGUUCAUUACUCUUUUGAUAUAUUUUAAGUUGUACUCAUACCUUUUUGGCCAGGUUGGUUAUAGGGUUAUUCCACAAAUCCUGCCCUUUUCUUUGAACUGACAUUUAGUUGAUGAGCAAAGAUUGGAUUUUAAAGUUCUGCUCAGACCGUAGAGUAGGUAUAGUUUGUUUCAGCCAGAAUACAUAAAAUAACUGAAAUAAUGUGCAAAAAUGAACAGCUCUCACUGAAACAUUAAAAUUUAGAUGAAAAUUUAGUUAGGCUAGUUAGUUGUAUUUUUAUGUAUAAUCUUUUGUGUUCUGCUCUUGUCCAGCCAAGAUGCACACUUAUCUGGCAGUUCUGGAGAUCAUGAAAACCUGAUGUUUAAAGAGCGUCCACACAUCUUCUCAAAAAGUCAUGAUGUGUCUGACAAAGUGGAAGCUUCUCGUAAAGUAACAGAGUUUAAGAAUGAACUGAACACUAAGUGAGAAGAGAGAGGUCACCUGUACUCAAGCAGGUCUGACCUUGGCAGUGGAAUUGUGGGGUGGGCCUGAAGAGGAAGGAACAAAUGUACUUCUAAGUGAUGUUUAAUUUCUUUUUCUGAAAUGGUUGCAAUUGAGAGAUGUUCCACAUCCAAGAAAUUUUGUCUUACUUUACCAAGAAAAAUCCUGCCUAGUUCUUAGUGAUCUGACUAAGGUGAAGUUACCCGUUCUUGUUAGCUUUGGCACUCUUGGACCCAGAAGGCAGAAUGAAGGGCUUUAAAGAUGACAGGGUGUUUCCUCUACCCUACCUUUUUCAUUGUCAUUCCAAGGGCAGUAGGCCUAGAUAUUAUCUUUCUGUUCUUUCUCCAAACUCCAUUUUCCUACCAGACAGUGAUAGCCGAAAAUUUCAGAGCACUACUGUGUCAUAAUGGACCUUGUCUGCAGGAGACAGGCCUCUCCGCCUAGGGCAUUCCUGUGUCAUUGGGGACCCUGUAUGCAGGAGACAGGUCUCUUGGGGCAGGUGAAAUGUUGCCUGUACGUUCUUUAAGUUACAUGAGUGGGCUACAAGUAGUUUUUUAUGUAAGGCGCACAACACAUCAUUCAUCUAAAAUGUGAGCCUCCUGAUCCAAUGUAAAUGUUUGAGAUUGAAUAUCUAAUUCAUAAUUUAAUUUCCAAAAUUCUAGAGAAAGGCUUCAGAUUUGAUGCUAGGGAUUUUAUUUUUAUCAAUUCAAAUCACCAGAACACUAAUCAUUGGUGGAAAGCAAAGGUGACAGUUCUGUUAGAGAGUUAACUAAUACUUCAGAGGUUCCAAAGGCUCUAGAACUCUCACAGCAUUACACAGCAUUCUUUCAGGUAGGAACAAAGAAGUCUGAGAUAAAUGGGAGCUCAUGGGUGGCUGUCAAGCACAGCUAUCUCAGAAGUUGUAAAUUUAGUAAAGAGAUUUAUAAAAACUGUCAGGAAAGGAAGAAGCGUGUUGCUCUGCACCCUGUGACUUAAGUGCUAUAAGAAAACUUGUGUCAGUUGAGUCUGCAUCUCUUUCUCAGCCUAACAGAUUUAUUUAAUUUUAAUUCCUGUAUUUUGCAUCCUCACUCCUCAGUUGAGCUAUGGGAGAAAGGCCUCAGUUUGCUUAUUUUGUGUGAAAGGUGACUUUAUGAUUUCAACACAUUUUCUUUUUCAGAAUCUCUAAUGUGGUUUCAGAAGAACUUUCCGUUCCAUAGAAAUCUGUGCAUCAGGGAAAUAAUCACAAUUUUUAAAAAAACGGAAGCAUUUGAAACCUAAAAAUUCUUUUUAAUAAGAGCUGUUCGAUCAAUUGUUGAAAUACAACCAUUAGUAUUUUUUACGUUUAUCGAGUUUCCUAUUUGAAAGCGUGUCUUUGCUUUUUCCUCUGUAAGAGAAUAGAAUGUCCCAGAGAGCUGAUGAAGGAUUUGCACACUUGUCUUGCCCAGGAAGUGCAUUCUCCUUGUGUCUGCAGCACAUGGGCAGCCUUCGAUAGCAUAAAAAUACCUCCCGAAGGUGAGCAGGUACCUGCUGUCCCUAGUCUAUGGGAAGACAGAUGCACUCAAGAACCUGCAAGCAUCUGAAAACACUGCAUGUGUGUUUGUGAGACCUGUAGUGAAGUAGACUUGGCCAUCCCUGGACAGUGAGGUCAGAUGUGAAUAAGUGUUGCAAGAGCACAUUGAAUAGCGUACACUACUGUUGGGAAAUGUUUUCCUAAGGCCUGGACUCCCCAAACUACGCACUGAUAAGCCCAUUGCCUUAAAGGUCUUCUGGUCAUUCACGUUUCAAAUGUAAGUGGCCACUCAGUACUGAUGGAAGGAAGGUAUGUUUUAUUAUCAUGGCACAAGAUACACUGAUCAGUUCCAGCAGGCUGAAGGGUCAGUGGGAUGUUGUGUCCCCUCACCCUCAUGACUACUGUGCUUUAGCACGGGGAGCAGGACAGUGUCCAAAUCUCAGGGUUUGGGUGAAAUGUAAGGAUGGAGUUGGGAAGUUGCUGGUCAAAGGAUGUAAAGUUCAGAUGAACAGGGAAUGACUUUGAGUACUGUUACCUGUAGCCUAUGACACUCAGCAGUGUCCUAUAAAUAAUGCAAAGGAACUUUAAGAAAGGGGAAGCAUGUUUGAGGGUUUAAAAAGCUUGUGGGGAACUUUUGUGGAAGAACAGAACUUAUAUAUUGGGAUUAGUGUUUGGAUUUGUAUAGUUUAAUUUACUUUAUUUUAAAAAUUCUGUAGAGACAUCCCUUAGAAACUAGAUUUGGUGCUGACCCAGGACCAUGUCUUCUUGUGCUCCCUGUCCUGUGUGGGAUUUGUGGCUCAGGCCUACUGUGGCCCCUGGUCUCUGUACCACUUCAUUUUCUGCCAAAUCCUACAUGAGUCUUCCUUUGCCCAUUCCCAGGUAAUAAAGUGAUUUCAGAAACAGUUAUACUCAUGAAUUUAUUAUACAAUUAAGCAGAAUAGGGUGGUUGAUUGACUUGGCAGAAGAAAUUUUCAUCUCCUAAACUGUCAAGUGAUUUGUUUGUAUAAGAAUUUUUUUCAACCUGUUCACUCACAGCGCUGGGAGGUAAGUGCCAGUCUUGAGAUUGCCUAAACGUUUUAAACAGUAUGUAGAUAGUACUGCCCCUACUCACCCUGUGAUCCCAGGCAGUCACAUACAGGAAAGGCUGGGGGAUCAGGAGACAUCAUCAGACCACAGGUGUGGAUAAAUGUUAAAGUGUGAGAUGAACACAGAACCUGCGGGGCCUGAUUGAAGGACCCUAUAAGACAUUGUCUGUGUGGUAGACUCUCCUGAGAUGGUAGAGUGGAAGGGGUAGGGCCUCCUCCAUUACAAGUCUCAGGGGGCAGGAUCGCCAGUGGGCUGGGAAAGGGAUGCCUCUAGGUGAGAUGGGUAUUCGAUGCCACAGUAAAUUAAUUUGUAUUUUACAAGCACUGUAAAUGCGAAGGAUCCUGAAAGGUACCCUGGAAAACUUCAGUGUAUGGGCAUAGAGCUCAUGCUCAUGAGUGGCCAAUGAACAAUACCCGCCCCUCCUCUCGGAUUUAGCCACGCCCUUCAUUAGUUCCUGAGGGGAUUUUUCAGAACAGAGAUUAUGGCAGUUUCAGCAUCGAAUUCCAGUGAGUAUGAGGGGAGCCCAUGGAGUUUGAAACCACUCCUUUCUGCUCUCAGGGAUUUGGGAAAAAUAAGAGAAUUUGGGUUGGCUUAGUAGCACUAUUUUGUGAGUCUUAGCUUGAGUUCCCUCGGGAUGGAGACCAACUGCUUCUUUUUUGAAUCUUAGGGAAGUUGACCUGUUUUCUCCCAACUGUCCUUAUGGCUCCUUCCUCCAUCUCCCGCUUGGGGCCUCUGUGGACUCUCAUUUGCUGCAUCAGCACAUCAAGGUCCCCUGACUUGGCACCUCCUUAUGCUGAACAUCAGCAGACUCCAUACUGAGUAGGAUUUGGGAUGUAACCCUACUCCUUGCCCUCUUAGAGCACACUGCAGAACAAAUAGAUUGAUAAAAGUGAACAAAAAUAUAAACAUCAUGUGUGGUAAUGGCUCACAAGCAGAGAGUCUGAACCUUACAGAAGCCCCACCUAAGAUUUAUGAACAGGAAACCGGGAAGGGGAAUGACAUUUGAAGUGUAGGUAAAGAAAUGUAUCUAAUAAAAAAUUAAAAACCAAAAACAGACAAACAAACAAAUAAAGAAGACUAUGCUGUCAACAUAAUCAGAAAGAAAAAUGAUCUGAUCUGCCUCUUUUUUUUUUUUUUUUUUUUUUGGGUCACCAUGAUUUCCAUAGUCAAUGGAGUUCAGAUAACUGUAGGAAUGCAUUUUAUGGUUUAGAGGCAGUGAUAGGAUCAUUCCUUUACUUAUGCUCCCCCUACUAGUUUUCUCACACAUAUCUCAUCAAGAUUUAAGCUGUUAUGCAUCCAUAAAACUUAAUGCUUACUAAAUCAAUUUAACUUUCCUAUUCUUUUCAUCUUCUUUAAUAUUCCUGGUACCUAAAUAAUACAAUCCUGUCAAAGGUGUUUCAAAUUCAACUGGUAGACUGAUAUGCCUCUUAAAACACAUGACUUAGGAAACAAGCUAACCUACAUUAUGGCUGAUUGGUGCAUCGAAAAACAGAUUAAUUCUAAAUUAAAUAUAGUAGAAUAUUUAAAAUAGUCCUGCUUUAAUUUUUGUAAUCAUAUCAAACUUUAAAUAUAGGAUUAUGAAGCCUGUGAUUUGACUGUACUAUACUGCAUUCUCCAUAUAGAUUUUUACAUAAAUUACUGAAAAUUUCUUGGAAAAAACUUAUUAUGUGAGCACCUUUAUAACUAAUACCACUGGGGCUUUUCCAUUUAAUGGCAUGUGAACCGUAUGUUUAAAUACAGGUAAAAGUAGAUUUACACUUAGCAGCCAACUAAGUAACCUGGAUGUAGUCACUUACAUUCAACUGAGUAGUUGCUUGUAAAAGGGAGCGCAAACUGCAGAUCAGGUAUUUCAAGGAGCUCUCUUGGUAUAAACAUAGCCCUAGCUAAUUUGGCCAUAGGGAAUUCAUGGUCUUUCUGAUACUUGAUCAGUCCAAGCCAAAAUUCUUACACAAAAGUUCAGGAUGCAGUUCCUCCUGUCCCUAUGUCUUUUUUUUUUUUUUUAUUAACUUGAGUAUUUCUUAUUUACAUUUCGAUUGUUAUUCCCUUUCCCAGUUUCUGAGCCAACAUCCCCCUAAUCCCUCCCACUCCCCUUCUCUAUGGGUGUUCCUCUCCCCAUCCUCCCCCAUUACCGCCCUCCCCCCAACAAUCACAUUCACUAGAGGGUAGAGUCUUGGCAGGACCAAGGGCUUCCCUUUCCACUGGUGCUCUUACUAGGCUACUCAUUGCUACCUAUGAGGUUGGAGCCCAGGGUCAGUCCAUGUUUAGUCUUUGGGAAGUGGCUUAGUCCCUGGAAGCUCUGGUUGCUUGGCAUUGCUGUUCAUAUGGGGUCUCGAGCCCCUUCAAUCUCUUUCAGUCCUUUCUCUCAUCUGAUCUGCCUCCUAAAAUUCAGUUUUUAGCAGGUGUGCUUCCUGACCAGAGAAGUCAGAUGACGGCAUGAGCAGCCCCUUAAAAGACAAGGCUUGGAUUGGCAGUAGCAGACAAGGAACUCUGUGGGCAUACUCCAAGGAAACUGGACCUCCUCUGUCACAGGACAUCCACUGUUUAAGCACCACCACUACCUCAGGAAGUCCACUGUCUGUGUGUCAACUCCACUGUUACAGGACCACAAGUGUCUCAGCACUUCAACUAUCACAGCAAUUCUACUGUUCAGUAGCUCAAGAGUCUCAGCAUCUCAAGUGUCACAGGACCUCCUUUGUCCAAGAACUGGACUGUCCAAGCAACACUACUAUUGCGGGACCUCCACUGUCACAGGACUUCCACUGUAGGAGCACUACAACUGUCUAAGGACACCCACUGUCCUAUCACCUCCACUAUCCCAGGAAUUCCACUGUCGUAGCACCACCCAUAGCAACUACAGUGUUUCAGGACAUCAACUGAAGCAAGAUCUCCCAUGAUGCUUCAACUUCACUGCCACAGGAUCUCUACAGUGACAGGAAUACCCCUGUAUCAUCAAUUCCAAUUUUGCAGGACCUCCACUGUAGCAGAACCUUCAAUUGUGCAGCAGCUCCCCUGUAGGUAGAUUGACCGCCACAAUCUCAGUGCCUACACUUUCAAAGGACCUUCACUGUCACAGAACCGGCACUAUUUCAGUGCCUCCACUGUCGCAGGACCUACCUCUUCACAGGAUCUGCACUGUUGCAGCAACUGUAAUUUCAAUUUUUCAAAGUCAUUGCUGGUUAUUAGAUUUCAGGCUAAAAGAAAUGAGAUGUUACUUUUGAUAGCAUAAGAAUUUGUUCUAUAGCUCUUGUGAUAAAUGCCGUGUGUGCUAGGACCAGUAACCUAUGGAAGCCUUCAUGAGCUCAUACCACUCUCCACCUCACUUUGUGGAAGCUGGUGUUUUUAGAGUGUGAUAAACUUCAGGUGAAUGGAUGCAGUCAGCUGCACCACGCUCUAGUGUGGGCUACACAGCAGUCAUAUUGAGUCCUUGCUGGGAAGAGAAGAAAUCCAGAAGAGGGAGAAGGCUUGGGUUGGGGGAAGAAUCAUAAAAUACUUAGAGGAUAUAAGAAGGUAAGAAUUAUGUGGAACUGGAAAACAGAGCCAGAGGAAGAAUGAGCACAGAGCAAACUGGGAAGGACAAAGUACAAAGGCACUUGGGUUUUGCCAUCUGCGUGUUCUCUGGACAAUCUCCUUGGUCCUCAUUUCUGGGAGAAAACUCUUCCCCCACUCCCUUGUAAGGUUUCAUUCUUGAAGGAAAGCAGCAACACAACUUCAUCAGUAAAUUUCCCCACUGGAAUUGGUUCAUCCUUUAAUGCCUCUGGGAAAUCCCUAGCUGGGGAUGUCCUGCUCUCUGCUGAGAGACAGCAGGAAAGUAGGUCGUCCCCUGUUGUCGUUGCUACAGCUCUUCUAAGUGUGGCUGAUUGUUGAGUGAAGACACAGGAUACUUCUGGAGUGUAUGUAUGCUUUGUUCACUGUGGGUGUUGUCGGGAGUGUCCUGAAAAGAUGGGCAUGCCCAAUGGUACUUCUGCUUCUUCUGUGACUAGCCUUAUGAUCAUAGGGAGACACUAGGCCAUUGGAAGAUGAUGAGAACAAUGUGUCUAAGUUGUGUUCACUUCUAUUCCUAUUUAGUCCUAGAGGGAAAUCAGCAAGGGUGUGAGGAAUGCUGCUGUGCACUGACUGUGUGGUGUGAGGAAUGCUGCUGUGCACUGACUGUGUGGUGUGAGGAAUGCUGCUGUGUACUGACUGUGUGGUGUGAGGAAUGCUGAUGUGCAUUGAUGCUGCCUUUUUUUCUUUUCUCCCUACUCCUGCAUCCUUCUGGUGGCUCAGGUUGGACAACUAGGUGCCCAUGACCAACUCGUCAUUGUGGAUGGAUUUAGUCUGGUUGGACUUUCUCAGGAAAGGCAGCUGAACUCAUGACUAGUACCAGUUCCAUGGUUACCCUGGAAGUUGCAAAUCAAGGCAUCCUCUCUCACUUCCUGUCCACCUUUCUUACCCAGACAUUUUCCUCCAUGGUGCAGAGAGCACAGAUCUCAUCUGGUCCUGGAGAAAGUCCUUAUCCUGGUCUGUGGCGUCAGGAGACUUGUAGGGGUGCGUGAAGCCGACUUCUGGUACAUUUUUGUCUCUGGCUCAGUGCUAAACAUCCUGCCCUCAGUGUAUGAUGGGUAUGACAUGGCUCCUGCAUUUAAAGGAACGUUGUUAUGUUUAUUUUACUUGUCAUUUAAUGUGACACUUGGGUUUUUAACACGAUUUCUAAUAGAUCAGCCUCCUAUUCCUAGAGAGAAGUGUGCAUAUACCACUAGAACAGCAGCUAACAUCUGUCUCCACUGGAGACCUCUGCACUGAAGUCUGAGAUGAGCUGGAACACUUUCUUACUUGUGAAAUAUCUGACUUCUUUGAUACAGUUCUCAACAAAUUACAUUAACUAUCAUUCCUGAAUUUUGUUCACUGAAGUUUUAUUUUUAUUACGCUACUCAAGUAAACUAAUACUAAAUUAAUGAAUCUGGAAAAUGAGAAUUAGUGUAAAUGAGUAAAUAAGAAAAUGUGAAAUGUUUUUUAUUGAAAGCAUAGGGUCAACAUUACAUUUUUAGCACAGCAUUUAAAAUACAUGCUUUUUAGAAAACCGUUUAUUUAUUUCCUUUAUAAUCCAAUAUUAGCCCUUCCUGUCUUCCCAGUAACCCACCAUACAAAUCUUCCCUCCAUCGCCCUUUCCUGAAAUGGCAAAGCUCCUUUCGGGGUUUCAACCCCCUUGAAUGCUUUUUAAAAGAUUGUAAAACAGAUCCCUGAGGAAAAAGUAUGCCUUUUAUGCAGUUUCAAGCAUCUGAUUGUUUAUUUCUUUACAUUUCACAAGAACAGACCCCUCAACCUAGACCUGGUUAGGAGCUAAAUUGCAGGAGUGACAGUGCCACAAACAGCAUGCAUCAGUGUAUAGAAAAAUCUUUUUAUUCCUUCAUAGACACAGGAACAGCUGGCUACUUGGCGGGUGAGCCAUAAAGCAGUGUCAGGUCUGGUUAUUCACCCAUUCCCCAGUUUUUGUUACCUCCUCUGUGAGGAAGAAACAUGCAUGAAAUUUUGCUAACAUCUCUGGUGAGUCCCUGAAGUAGUAGAGCUUCCUCUUUUCUUUUCUCAGCCUCUUACCUCUUCCAAGGAAGAACUUCAGGAAGAGUUUUACCUACUUGAGCUCCAUUGAGUAGAGGCUGGCAAGGGUCUCUAGUGUGACAGUAAUAUGUGGAUCCAGAGCUCCUCAUUGGAAUCUAUGACAUCCAGACAGGAGCACCUGAACCCUUCCUCCAAGUCAGUUACCCCUGCUUCCACUCUGAAUAAGAGUGUUCCUGGCCAUUGGGAAACCCCAGCAGAGGUGCUGCCCACCACUGUCACUGUCUCCCAGCCCAUAUGAACAGACCUCCCUCCACCACCUCCUCUACCACAGGUCCACUACACCAGAUUUUGGCGGCAUUUUAGUGGAUUUGCCCCUCCCACCACCUUAUGCAAACAAGGCAGGAUCCCAGUCUGUUCAGGUGGCUGCUGGCUAGCAAAAGAGAGUGAGGAGCAGCAGCAGUGGUCUGAGAUAUAGGAGGCCUGCCUGGACAAGGAAGCAGAGAGGAAGCACAGGGAGCAGGAGAGGAAUGGGUGACAGAUGCACUCUCAUUCCCUGAACCUGCUUCCUUCUCAUCUUUGACCACACCGACCAAACCAGGAAAACCUUCCACACUGCAGAGGCCCCAAGAAACAGUCAUUCUGGUGUUGUAGUCCCCGCAGCAGCCCCCCACUAUUGAGCACAGGGAUCUGCAGUUCAUAACUAUCAGUAAAGAGGAGUUGUCCUCUGGGGAGUCUGUCUCCAGACCCAUGGAAACAAGAUGCCAGGGAGAAGCUGGAGAAGCAACAGCAAAUGCACCUUGUGGAUAUGCUAAGCAAGGAGAUCCAUGAGCUGCAAAACAAGGGGGACGGUAGUGCAGAGGAGAGUGACUGCCUGUGGAAGAAUAUGCUGGAGUGGCAGUUCCAGAAGAGACUUCAGACCAUAUUUCUUGUGUUUCUCCCAGGUUCAUUUCAGAAUACUGUUCAAGAAGCUCAACAUUUGACGUUUACAUAGUAGAAAUUUAUAACAACAAUGUUUUUGCCCUUCUGGCCUUAGACAGUUCUACAAUGGUGUCUAUGGUUAAGUGCCAGGCAGUGAGAACCCAGGAGCGACAUUCAGAGGUACAAAGGAUGACCUGCAGGUAAGGUGCUCCUGGGGCCCAGUGUCCUAAAUGCAGGUCCUCAACCUUACAGCUGCCCACUCCAGCUGUGCCUGGGAUGGAGCCAGUGCUACCGACCUAGGAGGCAUCUCAGGGAGUGUGCUUAGUAUGUGCCCCAUUGCUUCAGUGCAUGACAAGGUUAACCUGCAAGAGCAGCAAGGAUUUUAGCCAGCUCGCGUUCUGUAUCUGAGAAAGAACAUGUCUUUAAGAACAUCAAUAUGCUCACAUCUAGCACAUAUCAGCUUUAUAUGUCAAAGAUAUCAUAAUAAAGCUGUUUAAAACAUAAAAAGUUAUAGGGUAGCUCAAGUGUAGGAUAUACUGACCCUGAGUAUUAUAUCUAAUUACACACACAUACCCACACACAGAGAGAGAGAGAGAGAGAGAGAGAGAGAGAGAGAGAGAGAGAGAGAGAGAGCGCUACAAAAGUUGGAAAAAUAAACAAAUCUUAAAAAUAUGUAAAUAACUGUAAUUAUUAAAAGUCUGUAUGAGAGUCAAUGUUUUUCGCCUCGCAUUGAGGAAGGGGCUUAGAGAAAUGAAUUAUCCCCCUCCAACCUCCAAAAACAUACGCACACACACAAUCAAUGACAUGUGUAAUUGUACCAGGAAAUACCUGUAUUUUAUAGAAUGCCAUAAUGGAAAGUAAGAACCAUCUUUUUCAUUAAGGGUUGCCAAAAUAUUCUUUUUUCAAGGUGUGUGCAGCCGUGCCAGUCUUGUACACCAUGGGAUGGAAGAGGUCCCUGACCUGUGAGCCUAGAGGUGACCAGGUGCUCCAUUCUGAGACUGAGAAAGGCAGGAUGCCCACUCAAGGGUCCAUAGCAGGGAAGGUUUUCAAGCUAUGUACAGUGCUGGAAAAGCCUACACAGGGCAUACAGUUAGCAGUGAUGUCUUUGCAGGGAGUCCAAGGAACCAGCUUUGUACUGAUGCAGGUGGGCAAGCAUUUAUCAUCCACCUGCCACUCUGACAGCAAUAAGAGUAUUGCUUAAGUUUUAUUUCAUAGAUUUGAUCCCUGACCAAAAUACCAAAAACUGCACCCUUAACGAUGUAGCAAAUAGAAUAGUGGAUACUAGGCCAAGAACCUUUGACUCUUCUAAUACCAUUGUGUAUUUCAGAGCAAGGAAAGAGAGGUAUCAAUGGACAGCAGUCUGCUUUCCCCACGAGUGCUCUACCACUGAGUUAGUAGCCUUAGCCCUCCUCAGCUUUAGAAAAAGGGUGUGACUAAGUUGUCCAUGGUGACCUUGAACUCAUGCUGUAGACCAGGCUAGCCUUGAACUUCUGAUCCCCCUUCCUAUUGUGUGUCUUGAUUGUCUGUUAUUACAGGCCCAUUUCUCUACAGCUGACCAGCUUGCUUGCUUCCUCCUUUCUUUUCUUCUCCUUUCUAUCUCUCUCUCUCUUUCUUUCAUUCUUCCUUCCUUUCUCUCUCUCUCUCUCUCUCUCUCUCUCUCUCUCUCUCUCUGCCUUUCUUGAUUUUUUAUUCUUUCUUUUGUUCGUUCUUUCAUACUUUCCUUCCUGUCUUUCAUUCUUUAACUUUCUUUUCUUCCUUCUUUCAUUCCUUUGUUCCUUUCUUUUAAGAUUCAAUUAUUUGAGUGGUCUAUCUGCAUGUACAUCUGUGUGUCCAAAGAGGGCAUCAGAUCUGAUUAUAAUUAGUUAGUAUCCAUAAUAUGGUGACUGGAAUCAAACUCAGGACCCUUGAAAGUGCUUUGAAAGCCAGGCUCUGAACCACUGAGCCUGCUCUCCAGCCCCAGCCUAUUUUCUUAAACUUAGCACACUUGGUUCACAUGAGAAUUGUCUGUCCAUGAGCAAGAUAAGGUUAAUCAUAGCAAAGAGUGCUUAUCCCUUGCCAGAUCAACAUGGGGUCUCCUGUGACUUAUGCUGUCCUUUUCCAGGCCUGUCACCAGUGCCUUGGCGUUUGUGGGACUCAUCCACAGAGGCAUGCAACUCAGAGAACUGCACCCCAACUUGGUGCACAGGAACUCUUUCAGGUGUCACUUGAUUGUCACAGGUUUCUGCUCGGUGAGCAAGGAAGGGAAGCCUAGCCCUGUGCCAGGUCAGUUCCCAGAACAGAAGUUCAUUCAUGGCAAACCCAAGUGAUCAUUGCAGUGAGCGUUGGCGGUCUAGAGCCCACAUCAAGGAGGCCUUCCAGACUUUGGAAGUGGAGAGGGAGGGAAGAAAACAAAAGUAUAGCACACUCACACUUUGGAAGGACACACAUCCAUCCUAAGUGAAACACAAGUUCUGUUUUCCAGUUGACAAGUAUAUAACAUGGCUCUUAAGGCUACACCCACAUUGUAAAAGCCGGUGAUGUCAAUCACAGCAGGUAAGAUGUCAGUCACCUGAGUCAUGCAGAGUUUGACCACAUGAGACUCACCCCAGGACUUAAAUGCAGUGAGUUCAAGGACUCACAUGCUAUGCUGCGUGGGCUCCUCCUUAUGCCACACCUUGACCCCAUUGCACCCUGGGCCUCCACACCAUAAGCCAGAGUGCAGAUCCCUGGGCACAGUAGGACACACCUAGGCUAGUUUCCACUCCCAUGGAUGUUCUUGUGGCCUUGUCAGAGCACUGUGACCACAUCCCACAUCUGAACAGCAAGCUAAUCAACAGGAUGCUCUAGGAGUCCAUCCGUUUGUCUUCUUCAGAGACCCCAUAAUAGAGGGGGCAGAAAUCCAGGCUUUAGGGAGCUACCACAGCCAUGAUUGUUCAUUUGUCCCAGCCACUCCACCUUUGGCCAAGUUACAUCUCUGCCAGGCCCUGCCAUGUUGUCUUCAACAUGUUUGUGUGUCAGUGAUACUUGUAUGAACUAUGCUACACGUUGGCCUAGAGGCUGGGUUUUCCUCUUGCAUUUCCAGCAAGACUACAGAGUUCCCGGGGGAGACUCUCAUGGCUCUUCAUGUUCUGGCAGCACAGUCUGCAGAUGUCUCUAAGGUAUUGGACAUCAGACCCCACUGAGGAGUGAGAGGCUUUCAUUGGCUUAUAGACCCAGGGCCUGGGCAUGAUGGCCUUUAUUGUGUGUGUGAUAGCAUGUAUGCUCUGCUCCAAGUGUAGACAGACACUCCCCAUGCCUGUAGUCUGUGCUUGGAGUGUGGGUACACACUCUCCAUGCAAACAGCUGUCUACGCACACACAGAUGCCAUUUUCAUGAUUUACACCUGUUAUCUUUGAUGUUUCUUUUAAAAGACAAUCAUAUAAAGUUACUGUGAUUUUGUGCUGGCUUUCUUUACCCAGCCCACAGAUGAAUAUUGGAAGGAGACUCGAAUCUGCGUGUGCUCCUCCUUAUGCCCAUACCCUGACCCCAUUGCACACUUUUAGGCAGAGGCAUGGCAGAGCGUGGCCUGUAAUUGUCCUGUCCAUUCCCUAUGGAUUGUGACCACAGUCUGCAGUUCUGCACAGCCUGGCAUCCAAGGAAAUUGGUAUAGUUCCCUACAAUGUCUCCACAGGCCCAGAGGAAGGACAUAAAUAGAAUCUUUAUGAGACCCAAGUGGCUUCUCAGGGUCAGCCAAUGCUCUUGGCUCCUUCUUGUCUCUGAAGACACAGGGCACAGGUCCUGACCUGCAUGCACCUGUAGCUGCUGCACACACUAAGGAUGACUUACUUGUGCUGGCCUCUGAUGCUUCUGGGAGUCCUGAAAACCACAAUCCCUGGGCCAAGGGGACUAGUGAGGGACAAGUGAGCACAAGGCCCCUGCCUGCUCCCUGGAGACCAGAAACCCCAGCAGGGUUCUCACUGCUGUGUUCCCCAAGAUAAUGACAAGCACCUGUUACAACAGGCCAUGCUCUAUUGGGAAAGGCAGACAGGCACAUCCAAGGCUGUUCUGUGGCCAUGCUGGGCCUGCCUGCUCUUCAGGGGCAUACUCUGCCAUGCCACUCAGCAUAUCCCAAGCUGUGUCUGGAGUGCUUUGGUCUCACAGGAAUGCUGUGUUCAUGGAGACACUGACAAACUAAGGACCAAGACCCUGUCAAGUACCCAUCUACACAUGACUCCUGCCAGGAAUCAGCAGUAUGGGCAACCACGUAAACAUGGAGACAUGGAUUAUUUCUUCCGUGGGAGCACUUGUGAACCACAGGGUCAGGUGACAAGCUCUAGACCAGGAAAGGAUCAGGAGGAGCAGAGUGACCUCACCUGAACUUGAGGAAUAGGGAACCCAGGAAGGGGAGUGACCACCCCUGGUUCACACAAUUUAGGGACAUAUGUGGUGGGAAGAAGCUAAGUUGAGGCAGCCUGGACACAUCCCAAGAUAGCAGUUGAUUGGGGGAGGGGGCGGUGUAGGCUUGCAUGAAAUGAUGUGUGUGUGUGUGUGUGUGUGUGUGUGUGUGUGUGUGCCUGUGUAUGUCUGUGGAUGGGCCUAUCCUGACACCAGACCUGACUGAUGCCAGGCACCCACAGUUGGCACAGACACCACUUUACAAUAGGGUUUUUGUUCCCAAAGGUUUUCUAAUGGAAGGUAAUAUGCGUCUCGUACAGGGCUAGUUCACCAGAUUUUGUACGAAAGAUGAAAUCUGAUCUUUAGAGAUUGGAGUCUGAGCUAGCCUUGUGGACCCUCCACUUCCCACUGUUCCCAGUCUGUUUCGUGUCACAAUGUCCAGGGAAUAGAACCCUCAGUUCUGCCAGCACCUCUGUGUGAGGCAUCGCAUCAGCUGACAUCCAGAAUGGUUGUCCCAACUCCACAUGUUCUGGCCAAGGUCAAGAUGCACACAAGAAGGCCUAGAUGAGGAGGUACUGCCCCACCCAGCCAGACAGAUUUUAUCUACUCUAACAGAUGUUAGGAGGAGGUGCAGAUAUGACUCACAAAAAUGCAUCCACUAUUGGGCUCAACUACCAAGAACCUGUGAGCAGCAGUGACAUUCAAGUCUCCUCUCAUCCAAGUAAAGGUACAUCAAAUACUUCUUUGGAGCCUGGGCAGUAAAGAAAUCUUGAGGGCUCCAUGAGUAGAUAACAUACCAUGAACCAUAUCAGAGCCCAUGGACUGUACCUGCUUGAUGACCCUGGACCUCCUUGGCUAACGUGAGGAGAGGAGACCCCAAACAGCCCUAUACCAGUGCCUCAGAAACACUGUCAGACAGGAUGGACCAGCCUCCACAACCUGAGAUGUGCAGUAAGGGUUCUUUUCCAUUCCAUACAAAGAUGUCUGGUUUGCAGAGUCUCAAAUGGAUCUGAGACAUACUGCAAGGGAGGCUUUGUGUUGGGUGCAGUAGUUAAAACCAGGACAUGAGAAGGGUAACUGCAGAGCUGUGAUCUCGGAAAUUCUGCAGUACCCAGUUUGGAUUAUUGGAGCCUAGGCAGGCCUUGCAGUCAUAGACCUCCCUCUACUGCCCAUGUCCCAUCAUGAUACCUUCUCCAGCAUGCAUCAGCUCCAUAUCCUGCCCAACAUACCUUAGGGUCCCUGAUAAUUCCAGAUACUUUAAUGUUCUCCCAGGCUGCACUGUGGGCUCUUGUGUGCCUCACAUUCAUCCUAGAAGUUGUUGGGAGCCUCCAUGCCAUGGCAUAGGAUAUCUUUGUGUCCACACUGAGCCGAGUGAUUCCAUCCAGUACAGGAUUCUCUCCCUAUUGUUGAAUUUUGGCACUUAUGUCUUUAGGAAUGACUCUGCAUGUGGUCAACACACACUACCCUGGAAGACCCGAGAGUUCAAGGACGGCCAACUUUCACUUAAGCAAACUUGUCCACAGACUGCGUGGGUCCCAUCAGCUGAGAGUAGCCUCCACAUUGCAGUGAUGUGCAAACUUCUGCUUUUAAGUCAUGAUGGACUUAGGAUCUAACCUGAGGACCAUACACAAGGCACAGGUUCUGAGCCUGAUGGAGAGGACUCCUGCUAAACCCAGUGUUCCCAAGAAACUGGCUGUAUCGGCAGGGCUAAGUGUAGAGGAUUCUCCACGACCCUGAGAACACAAUUUGGAAAUCUCAGGUAGGCAGGGUGUGUGGGGGAGCAACCAGGGCUGGAUGGAGACCUUACCCAGAAUUUGAUCUCCAGCCCUGCAUUCUGAUUAGCAUGAACUACACGCCUGUGAAGGUCUCUGGGUGGUUCCUGAAAUUAGGUGGAGUAAGAGGAGGAGAAGGAGGAGGAGGAGGAGAAGGAGAAGGAGGAAGAAGAAGAGGAGGAGAAGAAGGAGGGGGAGGAGGAGGAGGAGGAAGAGGAAAAAACAAGUAAGCAAGGAAAAGACAGGCACGUGGCCCGUACUCACUGCAGUGGCCCAUCGUAUCCUAGGUGUUUUCCUGCCCUAACUGUGAAGCAGGAACCAAACACCACUCCUCAUGGGACUGUCUGAGAUGAGGCCAGCUGUGGGUCUGAACUGUCAGCAAGGAAAGGAGCUGUCUGUGCCAUACAUCGAAGCAUAGUGUCCCACAUAAGCCCAUCUCACAAAUGAUGCCAUCUCCUCCCCAGAGUGGCUCAAGUAAGGGUUAGGAGUGCCUCAUGAAUGCCAAGACCUCCCCUACUCCUGCAGACCCAUGAAUGGUGCCUUCUCAGGGCCCAUCUAUCCUGAGCCCAGGGAGCAGCCAGAGGGCAUACUCAUGCGAUUUCAUACUCAGGUCAAUCUGCUAUCCUGUACCCCAUGAGUCGGGACUGAAACUCAGUGCUCAAGACCACAUUUUUUUUUCUGGACAAGACUUUCAGAAUGUGGUCACACACAGUGUUAGUGACACAUUGCAUGCCCAUGACUGGUAUUCAUUGUAGCCCUGAGCACCCAGGGAUUCAGAUCAGCAUUGGCCAGAUCAGACUCUUUGCUACCUGGUCCUAUAGCUCACCUCCACUGUAGUUCCAUGUGUCCUGACUGCUGCAGCUGCACCAAAAGCUACCAGAUGUCUUCCCACAGAAUCGUACUGUAAUGUGGGCUCAUCCACAGACAUCUCACACUCUCCCUGCUGGGAGUUAGGCUGGAUGCCUCCUGUGUGAGAGCUGCCUUGCCUUGUGGAGCAGAGAGAGAAGCAGUGGAGGAGAUGUUGUCUGCUGGUCUUAUUGUCCUCAGUGCCCAGGGCUUCCCUGUGGUUUGGGUUCAGAUCCAGCUCCAGUGAAUCACUGAUUAAAUUCAGCCCAUAGAAGCUGCAAACACCAUGGGGCACAGGGUAGACCAGGAAUGAGGGGCAACCAAGCAACCCAGGACCCUGUGUGGACCAGGGAAGCCAAUAAUCCAGGUCACCUCUCAGGCAGGAUGCAAGGCCAGGAGCUCUGUGUGCCCAGACAGAGUUAGAUGGGACCCUGACUCCCACAAAAUGCUCCUUCAGAACUAUUACAUCAUCAGCUUUGAGAAAGUCGUCCUCAUUAAGGACUUUCCGCACAGCUUGCACUGCCAUCUAACUCUGUCUUCCAGGGGUGAUCCUCUUCAGGAAUAUUGACAUGUCUUCUAUGAAUGGUUAAUAUUCUGAUAAUUUGUUUCAUAAACAUUGCUCAGCAUAGUAUCUGUCUCGAAAAGAAGUCAUUCAGCAAUUAUCCCAGGACAGGGAAGCAAAGUCCUCCUCCUCUUCCUCCUCCUCCUCCCCCUCCCCCUCCUUCUCCUCCUCCUUCUUCUCCUCCUAUUCCACUUCUCCUAUUCCUUCUCCUCCAGAUUUUUCUCCUCCUCCUCCUGCUCUGCCUCCUCCUCCUGCUCUGCCUACUCCUCCUCCUUCUCCUCCUCCUUCUUCUCCUCCUAUUCCACUUUUCCUAUUCCUUCUCCUCCAGAUUUUUCUCCUCCUCCUCCUGCUCUGCCUCCUCCUCCUGUUCUGCCUCCUCCUCCUCCUCCUCAUCCUCCUCCUCCUCCUCCUCCUCUUCCUCCUUCUGCUACUGCUAAUGCUGCUGGUGCUAUUGCUGUUACUCCUGUUGGUGCUGUAGCUUCUGCUGGUGUCUUUUCAUUGGCCAUGUGUCUGAAAUCACCACCUGUUUAUACACAGGAUAUGACAGAAUUUCAAGAUGGCACUGUGAAAGAAAAAAAGAAUUUAUUCUAAGCAAAAAAAUAUGAGGUAGAAUACUUAGAUUACCAUUUGGAGCUUUGAUUGCUUUAUUAUUUUAUUACUUCUUCUCUUCUACUUCUCAGUUAAGAUUUUUGAAAGAAAUCAUUUAGAAAUGUUACCAAUCAGUAGGCCUUAGGAACAAAAAAAAUCAGUAUGCAAAAAACUAUGCAUGGAUCCAGGAUUCUGACCAUCAACAAUAACCCACAAACUAGGUUGUUGAUACUUAUUCAAUGACAAACCUUGUUAUUAAUUUUAAGGCUUAGUGGAAUGGGACGUGACAUUUGAAAAGAUAAGACUCUGUUCUGCAGCACUUGGAAUUGAUGACCACAUGUGCUAGGACCAGUAGCCCAUGGAAGAGUGCAAGAUCCCAUGAACCUCUAGUCCUCACCCUGUGGGAGCUAUUGGCCUAAGGGGGGGAUGGAGUCCAUCUGAAGGGAUGGGUCAACAAGACAACUCUGUAGAGUGGGGAACUCAUCAUUCAUAUUGGGUCCCUGCUGGGAAGAGGAGAAAUCAAGAAGAGGCAGGAGGCUUGGUAUUGGGGAAACCUCAUAAAGAACUUAGAGAAGAUACAAGGUAAGAAUUGUGGGGAAAAUGGAAACCAGAGACAAGAGGAAGGAGGAGCAUAGAGCAAACUGGAAAGGACAAAGCACAAAGAUACCUGGGCUAUGCCUGCUGCUUGUUCUCUGGACUCUCCCUGUGGCUCAUUUCUCGGGUGAGAUGCUGUUCUGCCCCAGGCGAGGUUUCUUUCUCCUUGGCAAGCAGCAACAAAGAUUAAUCAGGGCAUUUGCUAUAUUCAUGGUCCACACCUUAAAACCUCUGUGCCGGACCCUGCUGGAGAUGGGCUUAUCCUCUA